CUGUUCGACAACGCAAGCCCACCAGGGAGUCCCUCCCGUCCAUGUUCUUCGUCUACCUGUACGGCAAGCAUCCUAGCUACUCCACGUCGCCCUGCCUUGAUGGGACGGCCACCAUGCACCGUGAGUUCCUCCUAUAAAACCCACCUCCGCGGUAGCCUGCAACCCUAGCGUCCUCCUUUCUUUUUCCCUCCCCCGCGCCGCCAACCUCUUGGCUCCUCUCGCUUCCCUCUUCUCCAUGGACCUCCACCUCCACCUCGUCAGGACGCCACCUCUACAGGCUCUUCCGCGUUCGUCUGAGCAGAGGAAAAGAUGCACCUCGUCGUCUACUUCAUCUCUGCGCAAAGAUUUGCUCCAAGCCGUCCGAAAACGAGCUCACCGUCGAUUUCUUCCUGCCCGGCCGUCAACUUUCGCGGACGGUUUCGUCACCAUCAGAGCCUCUCCAUCCGAGCCAACCAUGGAUUCGAGCUCCUGGUGAGGUCUCGUGUCGAUCCCACCUUUUUCCCGUCUAUGUUUGCACUCGCUCACGGUCGACUGUUCUGUACGAGGGCUUCCUCCCGUCCUCGUCCACCUCACUGAGCCGGAGGCGCCGCAACUACUCAAGCUCUUCAACCUCUGCAUCAUCAUCUACCCCGGCCACCUCUCCUUCCUCGUCGCCGGCGACCUCCUUCGCCGCUGCCACCUCGUCUCCAACCAACCCAGGCAUUUGCUUCUUCCCGGAUAGGAUCAUGAAGUGGUGAUGUGAGAUACGACAAGUUCUUCUGCAGUUUUUCACAGGCGAGCCCUCUCUCUUCACCUACUCUCCCUCGCAUUGCUAUCCUUAUGUUGCGCUUCUUUAUCGAGUCACGUCUCCUAUUCCACUUGUUUACCAUAAUAAUCCUAUAUGUAUCAUUCCUUACCUUUAGCCGUUGCUUGAUGUUUGAGCCUUGCGAGUCGUAGGCGUGUUUAGGCUCUGUUGUUUAUCUCGAUCUGUUAUCGGGAUAUGUUGGGUUGUUGGGUGGUUAUCACAUGCUAUAUCAUUGUUGGAGAUAUUCACACUUUACUUUAUUGUUAACAACUAAAAUUGUAAGCAGAGGCAUCUGUGAGCCCCUUUGCGAAAGCAUCGGAACUUUGACUCGCUAAUGUCCCCUAGGACCCGAGUUCUUGUUAUCUGUUCCGAGAUUGAGCGCUCUACCCGUACGUGGGGACGUUUAUUGGGACCCCCCCUCACCCAUUACCUUUUCUCAAGUCAGUUGAAAAGGGGGCCACAACCUUGGUUUUAUUUGGCGCAUGCAUGUUUAUAUACUGUUGCCUUCGGGUGUUUA